rnacentral:lncRNA from 1 species
UUUCAAAAAUAUUUAUUAGUUUUCUCAGGAUUCGAAAAUAGUGAAUGCAUUUAAAAAGCAUUGGUCAGAAAUUUUGCACCUACACUCUUAAUACAAAUAAGGAAGCACACAAAAAAAUGCAGAAGAAUAAUCUGAACGGAAAGUAAUGAAAUGAACCAUAAUCUAUGGUUUUAAUGGUACAUAUUUCUUUUUUUCCGUCAUAAACGUGUGACAUGAAGCUGGGAGGUACAUUAUUUAUUAUAAAUUACUGAGAUUUUCUUGUGAUUUUAAUAUAAUGUAAGAGUCAAAUGCUCAUACUGAUUUGAAAAUACUUACCUACAUCUCACAGACAAGAAAUUAAGGCAAAAUUUGCUACUUCUUUGCACAAAUUGCAAAAUUGUCAACAAUAAAUACAAGAAUUAAGCGACAUUUUGCACAUAUCCCGGUACGAUUCAAUCACAGUGAUUCAAUCAUACACUUCAAUCGAAGUGUCCAUGAGCCCCUUUCACAGUUGGCUCAAAGUCACAUUUUUCAAAAAUUUCUUUUUAAAGUCAACGUAGGUACUAAGUGAACUUUACUUAUUAUUAUUUGUGUAAAACUAACGUAACAAGCGAUAUAUGUUAAAUCCGUAAAACUAGUAACUACAUAUAACAAAUAAAGUGAAACAGUAGAAACGAAAAAAAAAAAAAAAAAAAA